rnacentral:tRNA from 1 species
CGGGGCGUAGCGCAGCCCGGUCAGCGCGCUUGCUUCGGGAGCAAGAGGUCCCCGGUUCAAAUCCGGGCGCCCCGACCA